rnacentral:rRNA from 1 species
CACGUAGGGUGCAAGCGUUGUCCGGAAUCAUUGGGCGUAAAGAGCUCGUAGGCGGCUUAGUAAGUCGGGUGUGAAAACCCCAGGCUCAACCUGGGGACGCCACCCGAUACUGCUAUAGCUAGAGUCCAGUAGGGGAGUGUGGAAUUCCCAGUGUAGCGGUGAAAUGCGCAGAUAUUGGGAGGAACACCAGCGGCGAAGGCGGCACUCUGGGCUGGUACUGACGCUGAGGAGCGAAAGCGUGGGUAGCGGAACAGG